rnacentral:rRNA from 1 species
AGAGUUUGAUCAUGGCUCAGGACGAACGCUGGCGGCGUGCCUAAAACAUGCAAGUCGAACGGAGCCUUCGGGCUUAGUGGCGAACGGCGGAGUAAUACAUAAACAACGUGCCCCAAAGACUGGGAUAGCCGCGGGAAACUGCGAGUAAUACCAGAUGUGGCCUCGGGAAGGCAUCUUUCUGAGAUUAAACGGUUUUUCGCUUUGGGAGCGGUUUAUGACUCAUCAGCUAGUUGGUAGGGUAACGGCCUACCAAGGCGACGACGGGUAGGGGGUCUGAGAGGAUGAUCCCCCCGAGUGGGACUGAGACACGGCCCACACACCUACGGGUGGCAGCAGUUGGGAAUCUUGCACAAUGGGGGAAACCCUGAUGCAGCGACGCCGCGUGGAGGAUGAAGGAUUUAGGUCUGUAAACUCCUUUUUCAUGGAAAGACUUAGGACGGUACCAUGAGAAUAAGCACCGGCUAACUACGUGCCAGCAGCCGCGGUAAGACGUAGGGUGCGAGCGUUGUCCGGAUUUACUGGGCGUAAAGGGCGCGUAGGCGGUCUAUUAAGUGAAUGGUGAAAUCUCCAGGGCUCAACCCGGAAACUGCUUUUCAUACUGAUAGACUGGAGGGAUGUAGAGGUAAGUAGAAUUCCUGGUGUACCGGUGACAUGGGUUGAUAUCAGGAGGAAUACCCGAGGCGAAGGCGGCUUACUGGACAUCACCUGACGCUGAGGCGCGAAAGCGUGGGGAGCAAACAGAAUUAGAUACUCUGGUAGUCCACGCCCUAAACGAUGGAUACUAGACGUAAGAGGUAUCGACCCCUCUUGUGUCGCAGCUAACGCACUAAGUAUCCCGCCUGGGGAGUACGGCCGCAAGGUUGAAACUCAAAUGAAUUGACGGGGACCCGCACAAGCGGUGGAGCAUGUGGAUUAAUUCGAUACUAACCGAAGAACCUUACCCAGACUUGACAUCGAUGGAAAGGCCGUGAAAGCGGCCCCUCCCCACAAGGGACCUGAAGACACUUGUUGCAUGGCUGUCGUCAGCUCGUGCCGUGAGGUGUUUGGUUAAGUCCAGCAACGAGCGCAACCCUCGUCUU